GGCUUGGUGGUCUAGUGGCAUGAUUCUCGCUUAGGGUGCGAGAGGUCCCGGGUUCAAUUCCCGGCCAAGCCC